rnacentral:rRNA from 1 species
CCUACGGGAGGCAGCAGUGAGGAAUAUUGGUCAAUGGCCGGAAGGCUGAACCAGCCAAGCCGCGUGAAGGACGACGGUGCCAAGCAUUGUAAACUUCUUUUGUCAGGGGACAAACUCAGGCUCGAGAGCCUGACCGAGGGUACUUGAGUAAAAAGCAUCGGCUAACUCCGUGCCAGCCGCCGCGGUAAUACGGAGGAUGCGAGCGUUUUCCGGUUUUAUUGGGUUUAAAGGGUGCGUAGGCGGACUGUUAAGUCAGCGGUAAAAGCCCGGGGCUCAACCCCGGCGAGCCGUUGAAACUGGCUGUCUUGAGAGGGCGAGAGGUAUGCGGAAUGCGCGGUGUAGCGGUGAAAUGCUUAGAUAUUGCGCAGAACUCCGAUUGCGAAGGCAGCAUACCGGCGGCGAUCUGACGCUGAGGCACGAAAGCGUGGGUAUCGAACAGGAUUAGAUACCCGAGUAGUC